rnacentral:rRNA from 1 species
CCUGUUCCAAGAUGAGUUUCUCACCCCCUCGAGGGGGUAAGGCCCCGGCAGACCACCGGGUUGAUAGGCCAGAACUGGAAGCACAGUAAUGUGUGGAGGUGACUGGUACUAAUAGGCCGAGGACUUACCACAA